UACGGAGGGUGCAAACGUUGCUCGGAAUCAUUGGGCGUAAAGCGCACGUAGGCGGUCCGGUAAGUCGGAUGUGAAAUCCCCUCGGCUCAACCGAGGAAGUGCAUUCGAAACUGCCAGACUUGAAUAUGGAAGAGGGUCGCGGAAUUCCCGGUGUAGAGGUGAAAUUCGUAGAUAUCGGGAGGAACACCAGUGGCGAAGGCGGCGACCUGGGCCAAUAUUGGACGCUGAGGUGC
rnacentral:rRNA from 1 species